rnacentral:rRNA from 1 species
AGAGUUUGAUCCUGGCUCAGAUUGAACGCUGGCGGCAGGCCUAACACAUGCGAGUCGAGCGCGAAAGCACUUCGGUGUGAGUAGAGCGGCGGACGGGUGAGUAACGCGUAGGAAUCUACCUGGUAGUGGGGGACAACUCGGGGAAACUCGAGCUAAUACCGCAUACGCCCUACGGGGGAAAGCGGGGGACCUUCGGGCCUCGUGCUAUCAGAUGAGCCUGCGUUGGAUUAGCUAGUUGGUGGGGUAAUGGCCUACCAAGGCGACGAUACAUAGCUGGUCUGAGAGGAUGAUCAGCCACACCGGGACUGAGACACGGCCCGGACUCCUACGGGAGGCAGCAGUGGGGAAUAUUGCGCAAUGGGCGAAAGCCUGACGCAGCCAUGCCGCGUGUGUGAAGAAGGCCUUCGGGUUGUAAAGCACUUUCAAUUGGGAGGAAAGGUCAACGAUUAAUACUCGUUGGCUGUGACGUUACCUUUAGAAGAAGCACCGGCUAACUCCGUGCCAGCAGCCGCGGUAAUACGGAGGGUGCAAGCGUUAUCGGAAUUACUGGGCGUAAAGCGCGCGUAGGCGGCUUGUUAAGUCGGAUGUGAAAGCCCCGGGCUCAACCUGGGAACUGCACCCGAUACUGGCAAGCUAGAGUGCGAGAGAGGGAGGUGGAAUUCCAUGUGUAGCGGUGAAAUGCGUAGAUAUAUGGAGGAACACCAGUGGCGAAGGCGGCCUCCUGGCUCGACACUGACGCUGAGGUGCGAAAAGCGUGGGUAGCAAACAGGAUUAGAUACCCUGGUAGUCCACGCCGUAAACGAUGCCUACUAGCUGUUGGGGUACUUGAAACCUUGGUAGCGCAGCUUAAC